CAUCCUUCGUUCCAUUUGUUUCCU
rnacentral:siRNA from 1 species